rnacentral:lncRNA from 1 species
CUUCGCUCCCAGCGGCUGCGGCGCCGACGCCGGCGCCAGAGCGCAUGCGCAGACCGACCGGGCGCGAGCCGGCAGUCCCCGCGCGCUCUCGCGGUUCCUCUCCCCACCGUGGCCGCGGCGCGGGAAGGACAGCGACCGGCCGCGAUGGCUGACGAGAUUGCCAAGGCUCAAGUGGCCCAGCCCGGUGGCGACACGAUCUUCGGCAAGAUCAUCCGCAAAGAAAUCCCGGCCAAGAUCAUUUUCGAGGACGAUCGGUGUCUUGCUUUUCAUGACAUUUCCCCUCAAGCACCAACACACUUUCUGGUGAUACCCAAGAAGCACAUAUCCCAGAUUUCUGUGGCAGAUGAUGAUGAUGAAAGUCUUCUAGGACAUUUAAUGAUUGUUGGCAAGAAAUGUGCUGCGGAUCUGGGCCUGAAGCGCGGGUAUCGGAUGGUGGUGAAUGAAGGUGCAGACGGGGGGCAGUCUGUCUAUCAUAUUCACCUCCACGUCCUUGGAGGUCGGCAGAUGAACUGGCCUCCUGGUUAAGCAGCUCCCGUCAUGUAUCAGGAGACCCUCACUAGCCACUGUGUCCCAUACCUGCUCAUCUCUACUCAGCACUUUGAAGGCUGAGGCAGAAGGACUAAGAGUCUGAGGCCAGCUUGAACUACAUAUGGAGAGGCUGCCUCAGAGAAGAAGGGGAGGAAUGACAAAACAACACAGGGCCUGGAGAGGCAGUUCAGCAGUUAAGAGCACUGGCUGCUCUUGCAGAAGACUUGCAUUCAGGUCCUACCACCCACAUGGCUCACAACUGUCAGUGGCUCCAGUUCUAUGGGAUGGUUCCCCCUUCUGGUCUCCAUGGCAUCAGGCAUUCACACAGACACACAUGCAGUUUCUCUCAGGAAGACUCACUUUUAACCUGGAUCUUUUGAGGUGGGAAAAUUCACCUUUAGUCUGGGCCACGCCUCUUGCUGGCAGUCUAUAUAAAGAAAGGGAAGAAGGAAGCUGUUAUCUUUUGCCUGCUUGCUCCCAAUGGCAAGUCCAUUCCUUCACUGGCAUCGGAGGCUACUUCUUCAGGAGUCUGACAUAUACUAAAGACCAGCUGAGACAUCCAGUCUCAUGGACCAGACAACUACUUGAUUCUCAGACCAUCCAUUGAUAGACAGCCAUUGUUGGACUAGUUGGACCACAGCUGGUAUGUGCACUCUGUAAGUGCCUAAUGCCUACCAAAUACAGAAGAGGGCAUUGGGGAUCCCCUGGAGCUGGAAUGAGAGACAGUUUUGAGUUGCCCUGUGUGUGCUGGGACCUGAACAUAGGUGCAAGAACAGGACGUGUUCUUAACUGCUGAGACGUCUCUUCAAGACCCCACACAGCCCGCUUUAAAAAAAAAAAAGAACUCUGGGGAUUGAACUCUGGUCUUCAAGCUUGCAAGGCAAGCGCUUUACAGACAGCUAGCUGUCUCUUCCUGCCUCCUUCCUGCCUUUUAAAAUCUGCCUUCCCAUUUGACAUCACCAGAGUGCUCUAAUAAUGGGGCUCUUAGACCAAAUAAAGAGGUAAGUCAAUGUAAUAACCUUCAAGGGGCCACCUCUGACUCUUGAAGGCCCCCAGGGUUUGGGAAGCCCUAAGCAAGGCUGCAAGAGGAGGGAGUGGGCAGAAUGCUCACUCCCCAAAGCCCUUUCAAGCCAGGUCUUUGAGCACCAUAGGCUUCCAGCAGACAGCCCUCCCAGUUUGGAAAUUCUUGACCAGGAACCUCCUGUUCUCUCAAAUUGCUCAAGUGGUGGAGGGGCCAAUUUCCUGCGGUUUAAUAAACAGGCUGUUUAUAGCCAGGAGCAGUCACGGGGGCAGGAACCAGCAGGGACAGGCCAGGAGGUCAUGCUGCUUCUGGAGUCUGAGGCUCUUCAUAAACACCCUUCCCCCUCUCCAGGGAGCCUCCUGGGAUGGAUGGGACAGCUCUGAACACAGGACUCUUGCUGGGCAGAGCACCAAGAACCACACUUUUCCCUUCUUUUUACAAUGUUUGCCUCUCUCCCUCUCUGCUUUCCUGCCCAUCCCCCUCCCUGCACUCCCUAUCUUCUCUAGUGGACAAGUACACCUUUCCAGAGGACCUGCACCCGAUACUUUUGAAUGGACAAUUGAUCUUUCUGAGCUUCAGUUUUCUUGGUUCUCCUAUUAUCCUCCACCCUAACCUUCUUCUAAGGAGAAAUCCUUUCUCUUCCCCUGUGCCUGCUCCAAACUCUUCCCCAUUGCCACUGCUGGCCUUGUUAAGUUGAUUGUGCUUUUACUGCCUUGGGGGAUGGACCCAAAAGCCGGGCUCCAAGUUCAAGACAACUAAUCAUGAUGGGGUCAGGCUGGCCUUGGCACUUUCCACAGGGUCAUGCCCUAAGGCUCUCUGCUUUUUUUUUUUUUUUUUUUUUUUUUUUUGUUCUUUUUUUUGGAGCUGGGGACCGAACCCAGGGCCUUGCGCUUCCUACCCUCUGCUUUUUAAUAACUUG